UACGUAGGGUGCGAGCGUUAAUCGGAAUUACUGGGCGUAAAGCGUGCGCAGGCGGUUCGGUAAGUCAGAUGUGAAAGCCCCGGGCUCAACCUGGGAACUGCAUUUGAAACUGGCGGGCUUGAGUAUGGCAGAGGGGGGUGGAAUUCCGCGUGUAGCAGUGAAAUGCGUAGAGAUGCGGAGGAACACCGAUGGCGAAGGCAGCCCCCUGGGCCAAUACUGACGCUCAGGCACGAAAGCGUGGGGAGCAAACAGG
rnacentral:rRNA from 1 species